rnacentral:misc_RNA from 1 species
AAGUCGUAACAAGGUUUCCGUAGGUGAACCUGCGGAAGGAUCAUUACAGAGUUCAUGCCCUCAUGGGUAGACCUCCAUCCUUGUAUAUCUUACACCGUUGCUUUGGCAGGCCGUCCCUCCGGCCGCUGGCGUCUGCUAGCGAGUGCCUGCCAGGGAACCAUCAAACCAAACCUUACCAGUGUCGUCUGAGCAAUAUAUAAUAUUUAAAACUUUCAACAACGGAUCUCUUGGUUCUG